UGGGGAAUCUUGCGCAAUGGGCGAAAGCCUGACGCAGCAAUGCCGCGUGAGGGAAGAAGGUCUUAGGAUUGUAAACCUCUUUCAGCAGGGACGAAAACAGACGGUACCUGCAGAAGAAGCCCCGGCUAACUACGUGCCAGCAGCCGCGGUAAUACGUAGGGGGCGAGCGUUGUCCGGAAUCAUUGGGCGUAAAGAGCGUGUAGGCGGACUGGAAGGUCUGGUGUGAAAGCCCGGGGCUCAACCCCGGAGGGUCACCGGAAACCGACAGUCUUGAAUCUGGAAGAGGAGAGUGGAAUUCCUGGUGUAGCGGUGGAAUGCGCAGAUAUCAGGAGGAACACCAAUGGCGAAGGCAGCUCUCUGGUACAUGAUUGACGCUGAGACGCGAAAGCGUGGGGAGCGAACAGG
rnacentral:rRNA from 1 species